GGGGAGGAGGGGCGGGCGCGGAGGCUGCGGCUGGGCUCCUGGGCAGGCGCCGGGCUUUCUCCCAGGGUUGUGUACGUUUCUUAAAAGAAUGGUACGCGUGGCAAAAAAAGAUAAGAGGGAAGCCAUUAUUAAUGAGAACAGGGCUUGCUGAUUUUAUCUUCAAAACAUGCCUGGAAUCCCACCACUUCGUCUCUCGAUGCCACCACCCUCGAGGCCCACAGCUGCUCUAGUCUGGAUGAUGGCGACAAUCUCGCAGCUGGCCGCCCUGCUUCUCCUGUGCAGGGCAGUCCUUUCCAAGCCAGGCCGCCUCAUACCUCACCAUGGGGCUUUUGCCAUGGAGCCUCCCUCUUCCUUAUCCUGUCCCCGAGCUCCUGGCUGUUACCUGAUGCCCCUUCUCUCCUUGCUCACUCUCCGGUGCCUCCCCACUAGCCACACUGGUCCCCUUGCUGCUGCCCCGAGCCGGGUGCACAGCCUGCUCAGUCCUCUCCAGUGGCCCAGGGCUCACUCCUUCACCUCCUUCAGGUCUUGGUCAAAUUCACCUUCUCAGUGAGGUCUUCUACGGUCCUCCCCUCCCACCAGCCCAUCCCUGUAUCCGUAUCCCCAUUCCCACUAUUUUUCUUCAAGCACUUGUAGCGUAUAAAAUGAUGUAGCGAUUUAUUUAUUUAUUAAUAGCGCUUGACUGCUAAUAAAGCCUCUUUACGAGUCGGUGCCCAGAACCCUCUAUUAGUGGGCAUAGCAGUGGGUUGUCCUCACUUCCCAGGAAGGAGGGAGGGUGCCCGCCAUGUGCCAGGUCCUCUCUCGUUCCCCAUUUUGUUUGGUUUGGUUUGGUUUUAAAACAGUCUCGCUUUGUCACCCAGGCUGGAGUGGAGUGCAGUGGCAUGACCAAGGCUCACUGCAGCCUCAACUUCCUGGGCUCGAGCGACCCCCAAGCCUCAGGCUCUGGAGGAGCUGGGACCACAGAAUCGACACAACCAUGUGGCUUCACCCUGUGGUGAGGAAAGCCCUGCCACGGACAUUGGCCCGGACCCCUGAAAUCCAUCCAGACCAAGCACUUCCAUCGCAACACCCAGCCAGCCCUCUGCAUCUGCAGUCCACUUUGGAAUUUUUAGCUCCUCAGCCAGCACCAGACUCACACGCUCCAUGUUGACAGCGGCCGCCACCUCCAGCAGCAGCAGUGGACAGUUAUUGCACACUCAAACCUUGCGCCAGGCACUGUGCUAUGGACUGGACCCAUAAUACCACAUUGUAUCUCACAACCACCCCAUCUUAUAGACAUGUCCCCCUUUGUCCAAAGACAAAAGGCUCAGAGGGGUUAAGGACCUUGCCCAAGGGUACACAGGCCAGCCCAGCGGGGAGCCCAGACUAAAACCCACAGUUGCAGGGUUGUUACUCCUGCAUCGACACCUCCCUUUCAAGUCGUGCCGCCAGGAGGGAGACCGCCGAUUCUCACCACACACCCACCCGCCUAAGAGGUCAGGUGGCCUGUGGUCUUCAGGAGCUGGCGUCCACCCCUCCCCAGACUUAGCGGCCUGUUCCUCCAUCCUGGUCUGCCCUGUCCUCUUUGUGCAGUGGUGACACUGAUAGAAAUCAACCCAGAAAUAAGCAAACAGGAUCCCCGAGUGCAGGAACCAAGCUGGGGAGGGCCGAGGGCUAGGCUGGAUAUGGAGACCCAGGAUUCAGAUCAUGGGUCCUGCUGCCUCAGUCUUAGCCUCUAAGCCCAGACUUCUCAUCCAUAAACUGGGCAGCAUGCUGCCUUCUGUGCCCAGCUGUCGGGAGACGCAGGCAGGGAGGGUUCUGGGAAGGAGCAUGGACUGUGCAGGCCCCACCCUUGAGGGAGACUCAAGAGUAUUCGAGACCAGAUCCCUUACUGGGGCACUACUGAAGUCCAGCCAUGGUCAACAUGGGGCCGAAACAGACAGACAGACGGCCUUUAUCAACCCCUGCCCGACACCUGGUCCUGCUACUGACCAGCCCCACGAGAGAAGGCUGCAGAUGGACAGGCUGAGACUGCAGGCCUUGUUCCAGGUAGACAUGCGCAGCUCCGAACAGCCGCCCCGUCUGGCCUCAACAGCAGCCCUCCUUGUUUGGGGCCUUGGCGGGUGCGGGGGGCUGUGUUGAUCUUGGAGGGUUCACAGACCCUCUCGGUGUUCCCAGAGAGGUGUUCUAUGGCUGCUUUAUGAAAAUAAUUUUAUGGUCCGUGUAGGUGCUGGGCCACUCCCAUCCUGCUGAUAUUUCCAGGCUAAAACUACCAUGGUCACACUCCAUGGUGAGGAGUGCUGGGGCCCAGCAAACAGGGCCAGUCUCGAGCAGAGCCUCAGGUGCCAGAUACGCGACUUUGUUUUUCUACAACUCAGCUCCUCUAAGGACCAUCCUGGGGGUGGCAAGAGCUGACUCUUGGUCCCCUGUCCUCACUCCCCACACUCCUCUUCCCGGCAUUGGGCUAGCACAGCAGGCAGCUGCUGGGGACACCAGGCCUUCGGUGUUAUCUCAGAGACCCAGGGUACCCAUGCCCUCCUCAUCUGCCCAUGGCACUCCUUCCACCUCAGCACAGGAAUUCAAAAGCCUAUUUUGAAAUGAAACCAUCAAGAAUUAAUUUCUAAACAGUAUGGAGGCUCCUCAAAAAGUUAAACACCAAAUUGCCAUAUGAUCCAGCAAUUCCACUGCUGAGUAUACACUCAAAAGAACUGGAAGCAGGGUCUCCAGUGGAUACUUGUACACCUUUCACAACGUAGACGUUCAUUGCAGCAUAAUUCAUGAAAACCAAAAGGUGGAAACCACCCAAAUGUCCAUCAAUGGAUGAAUGGGUUAACAAAAUGUGGCGUGCACACACAGUGAAGUAUUACUCAGCCUGGAAAAGGAAGGACAUUCUGACACAUGCUGCAAAUGGAUGAUCCUCGAAGACCUUAUGGUCAGUGACAUCAGCCAGACACAAAAAGACAAAUACCGUAUGAGUAUACGAGGUUCUCAAAGUAGUCAAACUCGUAGGCAGAAAGUAGAAAUGGUAGAUACCAGGGGCUGGAGAGAGGGGAGAUGAGGGAGCUGUUGUUUAAUGGAAACAGAGUUGCUGUUUAGGGUGAUGAAAACAUUCUGGAAAUAGAUAAUGGUGGUUUUACAACAAUGUCAGUGUACUUAGUGCCACUUUAAAAUGGUUACAAUCAUCAAUUUUAUGUUAUA